ACUCCUACGGGAGGCAACAGUGAGGAAUAGUGGACAAUGGGCGCAAGCCUGAUCCAGCCAUGCCGCGUGCAGGAUGACGGUCCUAUGGAUUGUAAACUGCUUUUAUACGAGAAGAAACACUCCGACGUGUCGGAGCUUGACGGUAUCGUAAGAAUAAGGAUCGGCUAACUCCGUGCCAGCAGCCGCGGUAAUACGGAGGAUCCAAGCGUUAUCCGGAAUCAUUGGGUUUAAAGGGUCCGUAGGCGGUUUAAUAAGUCAGUGGUGAAAGCCCAUCGCUCAACGGUGGAACGGCCAUUGAUACUGUUAGACUUGAAUUAUUAGGAAGUAACUAGAAUAUGUAGUGUAGCGGUGAAAUGCUUAGAGAUUACAUGGAAUACCAAUUGCGAAGGCAGGUUACUACUAAUGGAUUGACGCUGAUGGACGAAAGCGUGGGUAGCGAACAGGAUUAGAUACCCUGGUAGUCCACGCCGUAAACGAUGGAUACUAGCUGUUGGAAGCAAUUUCAGUGGCUAAGCGAAAGUGAUAAGUAUCCCACCUGGGGAGUACGUUCGCAAGAAUGAAACUCAAAGGAAUUGACGGGGGCCCGCACAAGCGGUGGAGCAUGUGGUUUAAUUCGAUGAUACGCGAGGAACCUUACCAAGGCUUAAAUGUAGUUUGACCGGUUUGGAAACAGAUCUUUCGCAAGACAAAUUACAAGGUGCUGCAUGGUUGUCGUCAGCUCGUGCCGUGAGGUGUCAGGUUAAGUCCUAUAACGAGCGCAACCCCUGUUGUUAGUUGCCAGCGAGUCAUGUC
rnacentral:rRNA from 1 species